rnacentral:rRNA from 1 species
AUACGAAAGGUGCGAGCGUUGUUCGGAUUUACUGGGCGUAAAGCGAGUGUAGGUGGUUUGUUAAGUCGGAUGUGAAAUCCCGGGGCUCAACCUCGGAACUGCAUUCGAUACUGGCAGGCUAGGGUUCGGGAGGGGUAGGCGGAAUUCCGUGUGUAGCAGUGAAAUGCGUAGAUAUACGGAGGAACACCUGAGGCGAAGGCGGCUUACUGGACCGAUACUGACACUGAGACUCGAAAGCGUGGGUAGCAAACAGGAUUAGAAACCCUAGUAGUCC